rnacentral:rRNA from 1 species
UGGGGGAUAUUGCACAAUGGGCGAAAGCCUGAUGCAGCGACGCCGCGUGGGGGAUGAAGGCCUUCGGGUUGUAAACUUCUUUUGCUCUGAACAAGGCAUGCUAAUGGGUGUGUUGAGUGUAGGGGUGGAUUAGCGCCGGCUAACUACGUGCCAGCAGCCGCGGUAAUACGUAGGGCGCGAGCGUUGUCCGAAAUUAUUGGGCGUAAAGGGCUUGUAGGUGGCUGGUUGCGUCUGUCGUGAAAGCUCAUGGCUUAACUGUGGGUUUGCGGUGGGUACGGGCUGGCGUGAGUGCAGUAGGGGAGGCUGGAAUUCCUGGUGUAGCGGUGGAAUGCGAAGAUAUCAGGAGGAAUACCGGUGGCGAAGGCGGGUCUCUGGGCUGUUACUGACACUGAGGAGCGAAAGCAUGGGGAGCGAACAGG